CCCGCGUGUCUCAUACCCAUGGCCGGUGGUAAGUGCAGGAGGUAAUUAGAGCAGGAUCCUAAACCUGCAGCCAGCCAACCGAAUCGUUAAAAACAACCACAGAGAAAACUCACGCCAACAGUAACGCUUCAGAGACAAUUCAGAAGCACAGUAUAUUUUAAAGGAAGGGUUACAGUCCUUGAUGUCUGGAAAUUGUUGU
rnacentral:lncRNA from 1 species